GUGCUGGCUUUGGCAGCACAGAUACGAAAAUUGGAACGAUACAGAGAAGAUUAGCAUGGCCUCUAUGCAAAGAUGUAUUGUUACAUAUUUAU
rnacentral:snRNA from 1 species